rnacentral:miRNA from 2 species
AGUGGAGAGAGUUUUAUCUCAU